GUUUAAUAAAUAUAAUACAUAAAUUCUUAAUCAAUAUUUUACUAAAUAUAAUGUCAAAGGUAACUAAAACGUAAAUAGUCUGUGCAGUGGCUAUUUGUAAAAACCCAAAAGGAGUUUCAUUCCAUCGAUUACCGAAAGAUCUUGCAAGAAGGAAGGCUUGGAUUUGGGCUUGUCGAAGAAAAUACAAAUUCAAUAACGAUGGACCCAGAAUUUGUGCUAACCCUUUUGAUCCUUGUGUUUCAAAAGAUACAAUUUGGAAUUAAAUUUUGGGAACUCCAAAGAAAAACUUUUCUGGAACCUAAUUCUAUUCCAACCUGUCAUUUGCAGAAAGACUAUGUAAGCCCAAAAAAGCUAGGGAUAACAGAGCUACCGAUCGAAGAAAGAAAAAAGUUGUUCUGGCACUUAUGGAUUCUAUCAUUCUGUCGAAUGAGAUAUCGGAGUCUGAACAUAUCUAUCAAGAAGCUGUCCUGGAUAUUUCAAAAAAAAGUAUCUCUUAAUUAUACCAGCAUCCAAUGUAGCAUUAUAUAGCCUAAAUCAAUACAUAUAUCAGAAAAUGAUUGCCUCAAGAAUUACUAUUGAAAGGAGAAAAUGAUAUUGUAAAUUUGUGUAAGGAAAACAUAUACCUGAAGAAAGAAAUAUGAGAUAUGUAUUGGGGAAAAAGACAUUGGCAGCAAGCUUGGGCCAAGCUUUCAAUGACAAAACGUAUAUUAUCAGAUAAGAAACCCAAGUUUAAUUGGAUAAAAUUAUAUCUGCUCUUGUUUUAAGAUGCAUGAGCUUCAAUGCUUAUGAAUAUCUCAGGAAAAAUAAUUAUCUAGCCCUUCUAAUCCGACCAACUCAAGAGAAGUGGCUUCAACGGUUUGACUGCUCGUUUGGAUUUCAACAUGAAACCAUAAGAGCCUUGAAAGAGAUGCUCCUAAUUCCUAAAGAUGAUGAAAAAUGAGCAAUCUUAGCCUUUGAUGAGAUGAAUAUAAAGAAAAAGUUAUGAAAUGGAUUUAAAGAAACAGCUAACAGUUGGAAAUUGCAAAUGGUAAUUAUGCAUGGUUUAGUCCGUCAUUGGAAGCAGCCAAAUCUUCUUUCAUCUUGAUAAGACCAAGACAUAGGAGUUACUUUUUUCUAUUAUAAAUUAAAUGGAGCAGAGUGGAUUUAGAAUUCGGGGAAUCCCGAUGAACAUGGUAAAUGUAUCUCUGAUAUCUCAACUAUCAUUUAAUGACAAAAGCUACUCGUUUGUGAAUCUAUAUGACUCCUCACGCAAUGUUUAUGUAUUUCCUAAUUCAUAUAAUUAAUUGAAGAAGGCUCUUGACCAUUUACUAGAUAAAGAAUUUGUUAUAUUUUCAAGGGAUGGCACACGUUCAGCUAAGCUGAAGAAAUCGGAUUUUCAAAAACUUCUUAUUCAAGAUGGUAGAGAGUUUAAAAUAACACAUAAUCUCAGUGAUAUUUAUUUAAAUUGAACAAGAACAACGGCCCAAGCCAUAAC
rnacentral:lncRNA from 1 species